rnacentral:rRNA from 1 species
AGUGAACGCUGGCGGUAGGCCUAACACAUGCAAGUCGAACGCCAGCACAGUAAGAGCUUGCUCUUACGGGUGGCGAGUGGCGGACGGGUGGGGAAUACAUCGGAAUCUACUUUUUCGUGGGGGAUAACGUAGGGAAACUUACGCUAAUACCGCAUACGACCUCCGGGUGAAAGCAGGAGAUCUUCGGACCUUGCGCGAUUGAAUGAGCCGAUGUCGGAUUAGCUAGUUGGCGGGGUAAAGGCCCACCAAGGCGACGAUCCGUAGCUGGUCUGAGAGGAUGAUCAGCCACACUGGAACUGAGACACGGUCCAGACUCCUACGGGAGGCAGCAGUGGGGAAUAUUGGACAAUGGGCGCAAGCCUGAUCCAGCCAUACCGCGUGGGUGAAGAAGGCCUUCGGGUUGUAAAGCCCUGUUGUUGGGAAAGAAAAGCAGCAGGUUAAUACCCCGCUGUUCUGACGGUACCCAAAGAAUAAGCACCGGCUAACUUCGUG